CUUGAGUGUGGCGUCGCGCCGGAGGCCGCCAUGUCGGUGGUGGCCACAGCGUGACAGCGGCGGCCGGCCUCCCGCAGCCCGUCCCGCACAGCCCCGGCCCCCUUGGCCUCACCACACGUCGCGGCUGGCAAGACGCCCGUCCGCAGCCCGGUGACAGAAUAGAGAUCCCCGGCGAGCGAUCCGUGCCCGCUGAGCUACGGGACAUAAAUUGGGUACGUUGAAGGAAGGAAUUGAGAAAACCCUGAAAGGUCCGCGAGGCGGUCUGGCACAACGGCAGCAGCUACACGCGUGAGGCAGCGUGCCCCUGAGGUGGCGUGGAUGACAACAGCUCGCUGGCCACAGCGAGCCUCUGAGGUCCCUUCGCACAUGUAGGGACACUAAAGUAAUUUAGAAAAAUGAUCCCUCAACCCACAGUUCUAUAUGAACAGAGAGGUAACAGCGAUAAUAUCUCCAGAGGCUUUAGCCCAGCUAGUUGCCUUUGCAGCAUUUUGUGGGUCUGUAUUCAGGGUAUCUUUUAAUCAUAGGAUGGUUUGGGUUGGAAGGGAGUUUAGUCCAACCCCCCCUGCAGUGAGCAGGGACAUCUCAACUAGAUCAGGUUGCUCAGAGCCCCGUCCAACCUGACCUUGAAUGUUUCCAGGGAUGGGUCAUCUACCACCUCUCUGGGCAACCUGUGCUGGAGUUUUACCACCCUCAUUGUAAAAAAUUUGUUACCUAUGUCCAGUCUAAAUCCAUCCUUCUUUAGUUUAAAACCAUUACCACUUGUCUCAUCACAACAGGCCUUGCUAAAAAGAUUGUCCCCAUCUUUCCUAUAGUCCCCUUUGAAGUAUUGAAAGGCUACCAUAAAGCGUCCCUACAGACUUCUCCAGACUGAACAACCCCAACCCUCCCAGCCUGUCCUUGGAGAGGUGCUCCAGCCCUUGGAUCAUUUUUGUGGCCCUCCUCUGGACCUUCUCCAACAGUUCCAUGUCCUUCUUAUGUUGUAUAAUCAGUGCAUUUGGAUUGAUCCCAGUAGAAAUCACAAUUUACUAAACAUCUUGAAGGCACAUUUCAUGCAAACCCCAAGGAACUGAGAAAAAAAAAGAGCAGGCUGUUUGCUUUUUGCAAAGACCAACAUGCAAAGAGUCAGUUACUGGUUUAAUGAUCACCCCACAAUAACCCACAAUGCUCUGUUGUAAAAUAUGAAGUAAGACAAUAAACUUCUAGUUUGACUUUACAGAAUGAGCAGAGUGAGCCUCAGAAAAGCUAUUCAGAAAACCCGCAUGUACAGGAUGCAUUGAGACCAUCUCUUUUGAAGGAUCACAGAGCAAAUGAGCAUUCACAUUUAGCCUCAUGUUGCUCUUAUUUACUCCAACUGCGAAAUGGCUUCAGGAAGUGUUCCUAUUUAGCUUUUCCUCUUGCAUAUUAGAAGCAAUUUUCAUGACUAUAAAAUAACUGCUCUGCCCAAGUCUUGUUUCUCUUCAUGCCUCGGCUAACUUCUCACAUCAUCACUGCUACCUACAAAGACUGCAGGAACUUCUAUCAGCUAAUGCCUCAUAAAAAUCUACUUGCAGUCUGGCAUGUUACAUUCCUGUAAGGUUCUUUCAGUACUGAGGAGAAAAAGAAGGUAGGAGAAGGCAGCAUACAGCAAGAAAAGAAUGACCCAGUGACAGGAAUGCAUGCAGGACAGACUAGUUUAAGCCAGGUUCCUGAAUCAGAGGAACUGGUUCCAUUGGUGCUAUUGCUGAACAUAGAACAGUUGGGAACAGCUGUGCAAAACAGGGACAGACCAUCUUCUUGUCAAUCAUUGUGGAUUUUAGAUGUGUCAACAGCAGCACCCAAAAAUUUAGACCCCCAAAAUAUGGAGAAAGUAGGUAAGUGAGGCCUCCCUGCUCUGAAAAGGCAGAGAAAGGAAACAGUAGUUCAUUCAAUAGAAGGAUUCAAGUCUAGCGAUACUUGUUCCAUCCCUCCCUCCCCAAAGGCAGGGGGGCACGCAUUCGGUGGCAAUAAGACUGCCAAAAGGCCACAAGAGAGACUAAAUCAAAUUAAGGAAUUUGGGCAGGGCAGUUUGGUUUAACUGUCAUUUAAACUUACAUAUAAACAGACUAUAUGAAUUGUUAAGUGGUUACAAGAUAGACAGCAGAAAGAAGACACACCUUUUUUUUUUUUCUUAAGAGAAGCCUAGUAACUUAUCACAUAGAUCAGUUAUACAUAGAUCUUUGAAAGUAGUUUCAUGGUUCUAUUUCUUUGUCUCCAAUGCUAUAUAUGAGCAAGUUUAGCCUUUUAGGCACUCAAGGAUAUCUAAACUAAAACCCAAAGCAAAACAAUUAGAAACUAGAGAUGCUGAGCCAUCAAUAAAAGUACUGUUCUGUUCUUGAUCAAAUUUGAAAUGAAAUAGCACACUGUAUUACAUGUAGUAUUUUACUGAGUUUACAAAGUUAAGAGGCUAUUUUUUCUUAAACUAAUAUUGGAGCAUUAGCUUUGCUUCCUUUUCUGCAGGGUUUUGAAGCCUCUCAUUUAUAGCUGGUGGAAGCUAUUUGGUCAUACAUACAAGUUUAUAUUUUAAGAAGGUCUCAUAACUUAAUUCUGUAACACAAGUAUUAUUAAAUCAAAAAGGAGAUACCUGAGGGAAUUAACACAUUCCUUUAUACUUUAAAGAAAAAGUCUACAACCCACAGACUCUCAAUAUUUACCAGUCUCCAAAAGAGAUGUUUAAAAACUUUAAUAUUCUGAGACAAUGAACACAUAGAGAGCAUUCCCAACCAAUGACAAAGUUAGGCGCUAACUACAUAUGAAGUGGCUAGCAAAACCUCAUCAACAUUUCAAAACUUAAAGCUUCUAAGGGAACAACUUAUUAAAUACCCAUCUAGCUCCAAACAGAAACUUCAAGCUGAGAAAAAUUACUGUAACACCUCAUUAACAAUUUAUGCAUCACUUUCCUUGUCCCUGCUCCUACCCCAUCAAUAUAGUUCUUAGGAGAAAGGGGGGAGGAAAAAAAAAAAAAUCUUAUAGCAUACCCUAACCACAAACACACCACCAUUUUCUUCCAAGACUAGUCUUUCUCUCCAUAUUUAUAAGAAAUUGGUACCUCAUGUGUCUCACCUGCAUCACUGAGUCAGCGGCUAGUAUUUUGCUCCUCUCUCCACAGCUGAUACUGGUAAAAGUGAAUCAAAGGGAUUCUGGCAUACAGGGUUCUAUCUACAUGUCAGUAGUGUCUUCACCAAGGUAUAAAUAUCUAUCCUCACAUUUUUGUGCCUUCUAUACAUAGAAAUUUUCUUUUUUAACAAUGUUAAACUUUGAAAGAAUUACUUCUAUUUUCUGAUAUGCACAUGUACCUCUUCACCCUGAAAAAGCUCAAGAACGUUUUAUAAAAACUUUGGGAUUACCAUAGCACUGAUAUGGUAAAAAUAUUUCCUUCUGUUGCUAAUACUUGCUGUUGUCUGCCAGUUUUAUUGGAAUGCUACCAUACUGUCUGUAUUCAUACCUGGAUGUUACAAGUCAUAUCUGCACUGGCCAUGUGUUUGGCCAUAACACAUAGUUUAAAUAUAGAGGAUUCUGGGACUACAUGUCUUUUCCCUUUAAGGAAGGUGGUCUCAGCUUGGACAAUUACAUACCUGUUUGCAAUAGUACAAAGUUACCGGAUCCAUAGUGCUCUUGGCAGUCAUGAAGGUUUACGAAGUCAUGAAAUCACUUCUCACUAAUUCUUUAAUUAGAGAAGAGUUUAUGGAAAAGAAUGAUGCAUGCAUUUGUAAAACAGAUUUGCUGCUGUGAGCUUGAAGUAAGUUUAUUCACAGGAGAAAAUGCUUUUCUAGUGGCACUUGGACCCUUCUGAAUUAUAUUUAUUUACAGUUUCAUAAAUGGGAAGUCCAUCUGCUGCCAAGGUGUUUUGGUUUCACAGAGUGGAACUGUCUUAUCUUCCCAGACUACAAGCUACUCAGGGCUGCCUUCAGUUGACCUGGCUGAUGGAGGCUGUUGUGAUUUCCUCCAGCGAGAACAAGAGUUCAGCUGCCCAGUGACCCCAUUCAGAACAGCCAUGUUUGCUUUGGUUGCUUGAAAACAUGGAGGCAUUGCUUAGAAAUUCAUAUAAACUACUGGCUAUUUAAUUUCAUACAAGUGACAAGGGAUAUCAGUUUCUGUCAGUUUGUGGGAGAUUACAGGCAGCCCUUUGUGGAAGAGUGUGCUGGUGGCAUUGAGAGGUGCAGUCUGCUGACAAUCACCACAUGCACCUCUCCUUUAAGAGGGUGCCGAAUCUGCUAAAACAACAGGCCUAAGAGUCUGUGCUGGAUGUCAGAAUGCAAAAAUAAAACAGCUUCCAUAAUUGCAAUGAAUUCUUAGUAAGGUAUAUAACAAAAAAAUCAAAUAGUGUAGCAUCUCAGUGUCUGCACUCUUGCCUCAGGCAGGCAUGGGGUGAAAGGCAAUAGGCACAGGGGUGAUGUUCUGUGAUUUCAUAGAUUUACAAAAGGAUUCAAGGAAACUGUGUCUUCCUUUGAGCUUCUGAUUUUUUUUUCCUGCUCAGACACCCUCUAUAAGACUUGGACUCAGAAGGGAACUAUAGAUAAAUGUAUAUUUGGAGUUGGGAGGUGGAAAGAAAUUUGCAGCCUUCUGCUUCAGGGUAGGUAGGGUUAGGACUGGGGUAGGGAACUGAGGGCCUUCAGAGCUGGAAUUAAACUGGGGUCCUGCUCAUUGUGGGAGAGAGGUAAGGGCUGGGGCCGGGAUGAGCUACAAUGCAACGCUUGUUGGGAACCGGGAGGGAACUCCCUUGUUUUGUCAUUCCCCUGUUUGGAAGGGUGUGAGUCCUUCUCUGUCAAAAUCCUCAAGCCCUCCUGUAAAGUCUCACUGAAGUGCAGUCUAUGGAAGUAACAGCAGAUUCAGUCCUUGCAAUGAUGGGCUUGUCCACUGCCAGGGUGGAAACCAGCCACGAGAGUGGAUACAGCAGCAGGAACAAAUGUGUCCUUCUUUUGUUAUGCUCUGUGUCAUGUGAAAUCAUCUUCCUUUCAGCACACUCAGAAAGGGUAGAGGUAUGCUGGUGGGAGGCCAGCAGCUGCAGAUGUGCUAUGCUUCUCCCAGGAGAUGGCACCUCAGUGGCAUGGAUGGAAAACAGCCAUCCCCCUGCCCCUCUACCUUCAGUUGCUGCUUCUGGGAGGUCUGAAAGAACAUGGUCAUAGCUUGGCCAAAUUAGCAUAAGAUACAUAUUUUUCUCCAUGUGGCUUGUUAAACCCAGGAGAGGACCCUUUCUCUUGUGUCAGAAUGCAGGCUAAUGGAGAGGAAGAGAUGAACAAAAUUCAAGAGAUUUUAUGGGAUGUUAAACUCUAGUCAAUAUGUGUUGAUCUCUGGUAGAUUCCUGUUGUCAUGUUAAAACACUGUCCAUUGGUUCUGCUUGACAUUCACCCAUCUUCCCAUAGUACUGUCACUGCCACCAUCUGAAAAUGCUUGAACAUGCCAAAUUUCUUAAUCUGUGAUUUGUUACAUCCGUUCUUCACUAAUGUAGAAGGAAGGUCUGCUUUCCAAAGCAACCAUGAGUGUAGCUUACAUAUGAAAAUGUGUCAUUCUGAUAACUUGCUUCAGUCUUAUGAAAAAAUUAUUUUAAACAUACCCAUGAGAACAGUUCAUAGCAAGGUAAACUUCCCACAAUCAGAAAAUAUUAAUGAUGGAGGGACUAAAUAAAGAAAUAUAUGUGAUAGAAACCUGCUUACUGUCUGGAGGCUCUC